GAACGCCGUAGCAAUACGGAGUGGCAGACGGGUGAGUAACGCGUGGGAACAUGCCCUUCGGUUCGGAAUAACUCAGGGAAACUUGAGCUAAUACCGGAUACGUCCAAGGCUUGCCUUGGAGAAAGAUCUAUCGCCGGAGGAUUGGCCCGCGUCUGAUUAGCUAGUUGGUGGGGUAAUGGCUCACCAAGGCGACGAUCAGUAGCUGGUCUGAGAGGAUGAUCAGCCACAUUGGGACUGAGACACGGCCCAAACUCCUACGGGAGGCAGCAGUGGGGAAUAUUGGACAAUGGGCGCAAGCCUGAUCCAGCCAUGCCGCGUGAGUGAUGAAGGCCUUAGGGUUGUAAAGCUCUUUUGCCCGGGAAGAUAAUGACGGUACCGGGAGAAUAAGCCCCGGCCAACUUCGUG
rnacentral:rRNA from 1 species